GUUUUAUGGUUAACUGCUUCUGAAAAUUGCAUGGGCUCGUUGCGAAACAUUGGCUCUGAGUUUUGA